rnacentral:rRNA from 1 species
CGUGAGUGAUGAAGGGUUUCGGCUCGUAAAACUCUGUUAUUAGGGAAGAACAAACGUGUAAGUAACUGUGCACGUCUUGACGGUACCUAAUCAGAAAGCCACGGCUAACUACGUGCCAGCAGCCGCGGUAAUACGUAGGUGGCAAGCGUUAUCCGGAAUUAUUGGGCGUAAAGCGCGCGUAGGCGGUUUCUUAAGUCUGAUGUGAAAGCCCACGGCUCAACCGUGGAGGGUCAUUGGAAACUGGGAAACUUGAGUGCAGAAGAGGAAAGUGGAAUUCCAUGUGUAGCGGUGAAAUGCGCAGAGAUAUGGAGGAACACCAGUGGCGAAGGCGACUUUCUGGUCUGUAACUGACGCUGAUGUGCGAAAGCGUGGGGAUCAAACAGGAUUAGAUACCCUGGUAGUCCACGCCGUAAACGAAAAGUGCUAAGUGUUAGGGGGUUUCCGCCCCUUAGUGCUGCAGCUAACGCAUA